GCCGCCGUGGCGAAAUUGGCAGACGCGCAGGACUUAGGAUCCUGUGCCGGAAGGCGUAUCGGUUCGAGGCCGGUCGGCGGCACCA
rnacentral:tRNA from 1 species